rnacentral:rRNA from 1 species
AAGACGCUGGCGGCGUGCCUAACACAUGCAAAUCGUGCGAGAAAGUUCCUUCGGGAGCGAGUAAAGCGGCGCACGGGUGAGUAACACGUAGGUAACCUGCCCCCCAGUCUGGAACAACUAGAGGAAACUCUAGCUAAUGCCGGAUGAGACCACGAUCCCUUCGGGGGUUGCGGCCAAAGAUGGCCUCUACUUGUAAGCUAUCGCUGAGGGAUGGGCCUGCGGGCCAUUAGCUUGUUGGUGAGGUAACGGCUCACCAAGGCUGUGAUGGCUAGCUGGUCUGAGAGGAUGACCAGCCACACUGGGACUGAGACACGGCCCAGACUCCUACGGGAGGCAGCAGUGGGGAAUAUUGCGCAAUGGGCGAAAGCCUGACGCAGCGACGCCGCGUGGGUGAUGAAGGCCUUCGGGUCGUAAAGCCCUGUCGCAGGGGAAGAAUAAGCAUCGGUAUAAUACGCCGGUGCCCUGACGGUACCCUGCAAGAAAGCACCGGCUAACUCCGUG